CUGCGGGCACCUACCCUGGAAGUUUCACUCCUGGCUGUACCUUGGGUCUUCAGACUGUGAAGAGAGACCAAUGUGGAGUGGAGUGAGACGCCAUGAGAAAUCUUCAUGCACCAUUUCACCUCAAGAUUGGGAGGGAAGAAAUGUUCUUUUUUGUCUCACUUAUCAAUAUAAUGUGGUUCCUGCCCCAGACCACAUUCAGGCAGUUCUAAAGUCUGGUUUUGAACAGGACGUGCAGAUCCAGACUGUGGCCAACCCAAUGGGGAGAAGGGUGGACAAUGAAGAAAACAAAAGCUGGUGACACCGCCUGAAGGCACAGAAGUAGAAAACACCAAGGGAGGGUAUGGUGUAACAACCAAAUGAGAUAGCAGACUCAAGUCUCCAAGAAAGGAUACCUGGCAUCAGGACCAGAGAAAGAACACUGAGGGAGAUCAGUGGAGAGCCCUGCAUGCACUCUCCCAGCAUUCUGAAAAGGAUAAAAAACAAGGAAGAAACUAUGCUAUUGGGUUAAGGCCUCAUAAAACCACUCAUUCAUUCCUCUGACAUAUUCAUAAGCUUUUCAUUACAGUCACAUACUAAAAGUUCAGUCUUUCUUGGCACCUAAACACUAUGCUCUACGCCCUUUGCCAGCUCACAUUUUCUGGGCCCUCAUCCAGAUGGGCAGCCUGUUAGUGUCACAUAGGAAAAGGGGACGGGCCUGGCCCAGAUCCAACAGUUGUCCUCCCAAUGUAUUUAUUGUGGAUUUUUUUUUUCUAACUUUGAACUAUGCAGACACAGAGGCAGCCAGAUGUCAAUUCCAAAUCCCUCACUUCGCCCACUCAGAUGCUCCCAAAGUAUAAAGUUUCUAGACCUUGCAUAUUUCCUAGUCUCCAGAAGCCCAACUUCUGCUCACAAUUGAGCACUCAGAUUUCUCUUGUCAUACUUUGGUAACAGCAGAUCUACUAGGUCCCUUAGAGACCCUAAAACCACAGCUUAAGCAUUCUGAAUAAAUUACCAUUGCUACUUAUAAUUGAGGGGAGCUUAUGGUUUUUAAAUAAAGUUAGCCCAACUUUUUAGCAAGCUCAACUUCAGUAGCGAGUAGGAGGUGGCUUUAAGGGUAGCAGAGCAGACAUGGACUUUCUUAAUACGAUAUGGCCCAAAAUAGGUAUCACCAUUCAGGAGGAUUGGGGCCUGCAACCAGAGACUAGCAUCUUGUUUUCCAUUUGGGGCGUGGAGUUUAAAUUAUGUAGAAUUUCACCAUAAAAAGAGUAAAAGGGUCAAGGACAAAAGCUAAUGCCACUUUGUGGCAGCCAUGGCUGCAAUGUUCUGCACCACUGUUCACCUUAAUUGUUCAAACGUACCUACCUCCUUCACCUUAAUUGUUCAAACGCACCUACCUCCACCGAGAAGCGAAAUGUGCAGGUUUGUACUACAUGAGUCUUUUCCAGAAAAGCACUGCCCAGCCCUUCUUCACACUGCCCUUAACAUAUUCAACACCCUGUUUUUCCCAACUGCAAAAAAUCCAAAUGAAAGGAAAACGUGUCCAUGCACAGAGGAACUGUCCUUGUCUCUUCUGUAGUCAGAGGCAUUUGUCCUGCAUGCCCAGCUCAGUCUCACAUCUUCCUCAAAGAAGGAAAAGAAGAACAAGGGAGUUUUAUCCUCUCUGAAGGCUCUCACUGAGUCACAGACUCCCAUCUAUCUAUCUCUCACACACACACACACAGUGGUACAGACAUACCUCAUUUUAUUAUUGUGUUUUGCUUUAUUGUACUUUGCAGAUACUGUGUUUUACAAAUCAAAGGUUUUUGGCAACUCUGCAUCAAACAAGACUAGUGGAACCAUUUUUCCAACAGUAUUUGCUCACUUCAUGUCUAUGUGUUAUAUUUUGGUAAUUCUCACAAUACUUAAACUUAUUUUUUUUGUUAUGGUGAUCUGUGAUAAGUGAUCUUUGAUGUAACGAUUGCAAAAAGAUUAUGACUCACUGAAGACUCAGAUGGUUACCAUUUUUUAGCAAUCAAGUAUUUUUAAUUAAGGUAUGCACAUUUGUAUUUUUAGAUAUACUGCUAUUGCACACUUAGACUAUGGCAUAAUGUAAACAUAACUUUUAUAUGCCUUGGAAAACAAAAAAAAAUCUGCAUGACUUGCUUUAUGGCAAUAUUCACCUUAUCGUGGGGGUUUGGGACCAGCCUGGCAAUACCGCCGAGGUAUGCCUGUAUUUGAGUGGUAGCAAGUUGAACACCUGACCACAGAAUCCCUAACCUUUUUCUAUGUCAACAGCUUCCUUUUAGAAGCUCAAUUUGUGAGCUUUUACUCCACAGGCUGGGUGACUUUCAGACUUUGGCACCUAUUUCUGUUUAGAUAUCAAGCUUGGUUCCUAAGCAACCAGCUGGCACCCCUCCCUCCCUCUCCCCCAUCAGGGAACCAGCCCACUAUACUAGCAUAACAGGUCAAACGGAGAUCAAUCCUGGACAAAUCAGUGCUUCAGGGGACUUUAAUGAAAGCAAAAAA